GAUGAAGAACGUAGCGAAAUGCGAUAAGUAGUGUGAAUUGCAGAAUUCAGUGAGUCAUCGAAUCUUUGAACGCACAUUGCGCCCUGUGGUAUUCCGCAGGGCAUGCCUGUUCGAGCGUCAUUUCAACCCUCAAGCCUCGCUUGGUGUUGGGCCCUGCCCGCCGCGGCCGGCCCUAAAGAUAGUGGCGGCGCCGCCUGGCCCUCAGCGUAGUACAGCUCUCGCUCCAGGGUCCGGCGGCAGCCUGCCAGAACCCCCCAACUCUGUGGUUGACCUCGGAUCAGGUAGGGAUACCCGCUGAACUUAAGCAUAUCAAUAAGCGGAGGA
rnacentral:misc_RNA from 1 species